UCAUACAAGAAACCCAAAUCAAUAGCCAUUCGGCGUAAAGAGUGGCCACAUGUUAUCUACAUCAACUAAGAUCGAAAUGCAACUAAGCUGUCAUAAGCCCAAGAUACACCUAAGUCCAACAUAAACACCAUCUUAGACACCAUGACCAAUUUAAACCCACGAAAGCCAGGACACAAACUGGGAUUAGAUACCCCACUAUGCCAGGCCCUAAAUCUAGAUACCCAAACAUCUACUUACGUAUCCGCCUGAGAACUACGAGCACAAACGCUUAAAACUCUAAGGACUUGGCGGUGCCCCAAACCCACCUAGAGGAGCCUGUUCUAUAACCGAUAAUCCACGAUUCACCCAACCAUCCCUCGCCAACACAGCCUACAUACCGCCGUCGCCAGCCCACCUCUAAUGAAAGGACAACAGUGAGCUCAAUAGUCCACACUAACAAGACAGGUCGAGGUAUAGCCCAUGGGAUGGAAGCAAUGGGCUACAUUUUCUAAAAUAGAACAAACGAAAAAGGGCAUGAAACCGGCCCUUAGAAGGAGGAUUUAGCAGUAAAGCGGGAUCAUCUUGGGCCCGCUUUAAGACGGCCCUGAGGCACGUACAUACCGCCCGUCACCCUCUUCAAGAGCCACCAACCCCAAUAAAUAAUUUACCCACCCCAGGCUAAAGACGAGGCAAGUCGUAACAA
rnacentral:rRNA from 1 species